UGGUCAGUAAAGAAUGCCACUUUCUAACAGGCCCAGGAGCUCCAACUUUGUCUUGGGACCUUAAGAGGAAAGGAUCACCCAACUCACAGAUACCUGAGGAUACAAACCCAUGGCUGGGCUCAGCUUUAAUAGGAUUUAUCUGAGGAAGAUCCGAGGAAGAUGAUAACAGAGGUUAAAAGGCAUGGCACAGUCAAUGAAAAAUCAUAUAUUUAGUACCUUCCUCUCAUCAGGACCCACCCCAAAACUGAAUCUCAGAUAAAAUCAGCCAGCUAAUUAUCUUUAAGGUCCAUGGAAGACAAGACGCUUUCACUAGGU
rnacentral:lncRNA from 1 species